rnacentral:rRNA from 1 species
AUUGAACGCUGGCGGCAUGCCUUACACAUGCAAGUCGAACGGUAACAGGUUAAGCUGACGAGUGGCGAACGGGUGAGUAAUGUAUCGGAACGUGCCCAGUCGUGGGGGAUAACUGCUCGAAAGAGCAGCUAAUACCGCAUACGACCUGAGGGUGAAAGCGGGGGAUCGCAAGACCUCGCGCGAUUGGAGCGGCCGAUAUCAGAUUAGGUAGUUGGUGAGGUAAAGGCUCACCAAGCCGACGAUCUGUAGCUGGUCUGAGAGGACGACCAGCCACACUGGGACUGAGACACGGCCCAGACUCCUACGGGAGGCAGCAGUGGGGAAUUUUGGACAAUGGGCGCAAGCCUGAUCCAGCCAUGCCGCGUGCGGGAAGAAGGCCUUCGGGUUGUAAACCGCUUUUGUCAGGGAAGAAAAGGUUCUGGCUAAUACCUGGGGCUCAUGACGGUACCUGAAGAAUAAGCACCGGCUAACUACGUG